GAUGAACGCUGGCGGCGUGCCUAAUACAUGCAAGUCGAGCGAACGGACGAGAAGCUUGCUUUUCUGAUGUUAGCGGCGGACGGGUGAGUAACACGUGGAUAACCUACCUAUAAGACUGGGAUAACUUCGGGAAACCGGAGCUAAUACCGGAUAAUAUUUUGAACCGCAUGGUUCAAAAGUGAAAGACGGUCUUGCUGUCACUUAUAGAUGGAGCCGCGCUGCAUUAGCUAGUUGGUAAGGUAACGGCUUACCAAGGCAACGAUGCAUAGCCGACCUGAGAGGGUGAUCGGCCACACUGGAACUGAGACACGGUCCAGACUCCUACGGGAGGCAGCAGUAGGGAAUCUUCCGCAAUGGGCGAAAGCCUGACGGAGCAACGCCGCGUGAGUGAUGAAGGUCUUCGGAUCGUAAAACUCUGUUAUUAGGGAAGAACAUAUGUGUAAGUAACUGUGCACAUCUUGACGGUACCUAAUCAGAAAGCCACGGCUAACUACGUG
rnacentral:rRNA from 1 species